CUCGAAUAAUAAUUUAUUUUUUCAUGAAUUAAGUGACAUGAAAACAUGCAACACUAAAAAACGGGUUGUCAUACUGAAAAUUCAUUACGAAUACCGCGCUUGCCAUCAUAGAGUUCGUCCGUAAUACCGCUCGGUUUUUGGACGUCGCGUUACUCCUUGCCCCUGCAGCGACAACAGCUAUUGCAUUUUGAAAGCAAGCGCCUUUUUCACUCACCUUUUCUUAAUUCUUCUAAUUUUUAUUUUUUACCGCGGUUUUGUGAAAUUUGUGUAAAAUCGACUUACGAGGUUUUGCUAGAGGGCCAUCCAUAAAUCGAUC